rnacentral:rRNA from 1 species
AACCUGGGGAAACCCAGGCUAAUACCGCAUACGUCCUACGGGAGAAAGGGGGCUCCGGCUCCCGCUAUGGGAUGAGCCUAUGUCGGAUUAGCUAGUUGGUGAGGUAACGGCUCACCAAGGCCACGAUCCGUAGCUGGUCUGAGAGGAUGAUCAGCCACAUCGGGACUGAGACACGGCCCGAACUCCUACGGGAGGCAGCAGUGGGGAAUAUUGGACAAUGGGCGCAAGCCUGAUCCAGCCAUGCCGCGUGUGUGAAGAAGGCCCUCGGGUUGUAAAGCACUUUCAGCGAGGAAGAACGCCUAGCGGUUAAUACCCGCUAGGAAAGACAUCACUCGCAGAAGAAGCACCGGCUAACUCCGUGCCAGCAGCCGCGGUAAUACGGAGGGUGCAAGCGUUAAUCGGAAUUACUGGGCGUAAAGCGCGCGUAGGUGGCUUGAUAAGCCGGUUGUGAAAGCCCCGGGCUCAACCUGGGAACGGCAUCCGGAACUGUCAAGCUAGAGUGCAGGAGAGGAAGGUAGAAUUCCCGGUGUAGCGGUGAAAUGCGUAGAGAUCGGGAGGAAUACCAGUGGCGAAGGCGGCCUUCUGGACUGACACUGACACUGAGGUGCGAAAGCGUGGGUAGCAAACAGGAUUAGAUACCCUGGUAGUCCACGCCGUAAACGAUGUCGACCAGCCGUUGGGUGCCUAGCGCACUUUGUGGCGAAGUUAACGCGAUAAGUCGACCGCCUGGGGAGUACGGCCGCAAGGUUAAAACUCAAAUGAAUUGACGGGGGCCCGCACAAGCGGUGGAGCAUGUGGUUUAAUUCGAUGCAACGCGAAGAAUCUUGCCUACUCUUGACAUCCUGCGAAUUUGGUAGAGAUACCUUAGUGCCUUCGGGAACGCAGAGACAGGUGCUGCAUGGCCGUCGUCAGCUCGUGUUGUGGAAUGUUGGGUUAAGUCCCGUAACGAGCGCAACCCUUGUCCUUAUUUGCCAGCGCGUAAUGGCGGGAACUCUAAGGAGACUGCCGGUGACAAACCGGAGGAAGGUGGGGACGACGUCAAGUCAUCAUGGCCCUUACGAGUAGGGCUACACACGUGCUACAAUGGUCGGUACAAAGGGUUGCCAACUCGCGAGAGUGAGCCAAUCCCGAAAAGCCGAUCUCAGUCCGGAUCGGAGUCUGCAACUCGACUCCGUGAAGUCGGAAUCGCUAGUAAUCGUGGAUCAGAAUGCCACGGUGAAUACGUUCCCGGGCCUUG